UUUUUUUUUUUUUUUUUUGCAUGAACCGGGCUUCAGACCUACGUGAUGAGUUAGGCCCUUUUAUCCUUCGUUUUGUGACACGUAAUAUAAGCCCAUAUUCCCCUCCUUAAACCCUAAAAACAGCAGUUAGGAAACAAGAUAGAAGGACAGAAAUGGGAGGGAGGAGGAAAAAGAGAAGGAAACACUUCGUCUUCUAUCCUGUUGAUGUUCGAUCAUCACUAGUUCCCCCGGCUAGAUGCACGAUUUUUCAACUACUCAAGUCGGUCUAGUUUUGACCUGAUGAGUUUGCACAAACAACUUAUUGAAGUUUGGGAAAAUGAGUUAUUGCCAUCACGACAUUGUUCUACCAUUAUCCAUUCAUCUUUUAUUGAAAGAGUAGAUCCAAAUGGGUAUAAUUGGAUAAGUUUAAGCAACGAGACAAAACUAUUGUAUUGGGACGAGUUUCAGAAACAAUGUUGUUGGGAUGAUGCAAUAAUUUCUAAUGUGAAGAAUUGAGAAACUAAGGCGAAGGAGUGAUACAAAUGGUUAUAAUUGGAUAAAUUUAAGCAACGAGACAAAACUAUUGUAUUGGGACAAGUUUCAGAAACAAUGUUGUUGGGAUGAUGCAAUAAUUUCUAAUGUGAAGACUUCUUGAGAAACUAAGGCGGAGGAGUGAUACAGACAAUAUAUCCAUAACGUGUGUUAGAAAAAAGCCAUGUCACAUAUCAUUAGUAGUGUGGACAUCUUGAAAUGCAAAAUGGAAUUGUGAAGAGUUCAAGAUCACAACAAAUCAAAACAAAAUGUGGGAAACUUGAACAACUACUUGAAUAAGCAAUGAUCGAAUACAUCACAAUUUUUACUAGUUAGUGAUAGAGUAUCAUAUAUAUUGAAAUUUGAUUUGUUUCAAGCAACUUUUUAUUUAAAUUAAGUUAACUAUUUGAUGUAUUAAACAAUAUUUAUUUUUG